rfam:Lactobacillus acidophilus NCFM, complete genome.
GAGAACAAGAAGAAGCACCCGCUUCUCGCCUAAGUUAAGUAAACCUCUAGGCUGAUCGAUAAUUUCUGUUGAUUAAAGGCGGGGUGAUACUUAUCCCGCCUUUUUCUUGUCCU